rnacentral:misc_RNA from 3 species
AACGCACAUUGCGCCCCUCGGUAUUCCGGAGGGCACGCCUGUUCGAGCGUCAUUUUACACCUCGGGCCCGGCCCGGUUCUGGGAGCAGCCGCCCGUCCCAUUUGGCGGGCGCUCCUGUAACGCUUCGGCGACGCGGUCCGGACCCUUAGACGCGGCAAGUCCAAUCGUCUCGCGGGCUCCGGGCGCGUGUCUGCCGCCUAAAGGCGCCUGCGCGCCGUCUCGCAAGCCUUGACCUCGGAUCAGGCGGGGAUACCCGCUGAACUUAA